UACAUAUACUAUAUAUUUUUCUUAGAAAAAGAGGAAGAGAUAGCAUAAAUGUUGGAAUUUCUUUGUUUCUUCAUAUUGCUAACAUAAACUACAGUGACAUUUUAAUAUGACAUACGGAGACAAUCAUCUCCUCUACUUCAACCCUAUUGCUUAUUCCUUUGGCUUUCCAAUGACAACCAUGUCAUUCUCUGGAGUGAUUCUGAGUUUAAAAUGUAGCUGACCUUAGCUCUAUUUAAAAAAAAAAAAACCUAAAAUAUAUUUGCUAUUUAAAAAAACAUUGCAUAGCUUAUUCAUAUUUGAACAAAAAAAUCAGCUGGGGCCUUCAAGUUAAAGCUCCAAGAUAAACAAUUAGAUUUUUGGCUUUGAAGAAUAUUGAAAUACCUUACAGUGAUGUAUUGGACUUGGGGUGUUAAUGUUCAUUAAACUGCAGCAUGUUAUGGAGGUCCAGGCGCGCUUACCACUAAUUACCGGAGGUCACAACAGCUGUCAUAAUUGACAGUUUUCUUUUUAGCCUCCUUACACUUGAGAGCAUGAAACACUGUGGCAAAAACAUGCAACUUCCAAAUUAGGGCGGAUGGAUAAUGGUACUGUAAAGUAACUGUUCUGCUGAGCUCGGGAGUUCCUACCUAUUUAAGUUGUAGACAAACCGUGCAAGCGCAAUAAAGACAUCUAACUAUUCUACAAAUCGUCACACCCACCCAGAUUAACUAGAAAAUAGAUCAGAACUGGAAUCAGAGUUGCUCUUCAAAUAAUGCGCUUGGAUUUCUUGAAAAGCUACGCCGCAGGAACUCUAACCCUGGUCCCCAAAUGCUUUUUAAAGUCUUCCCCAGAAACCCUCCCCCUGCAGCCUCGGCGCCUUCCUAGCUGUGCCCUGCGCAGGGCUCCCCAGCCUCCGCCCUGGACGUCAGCCUCUGCACCCCGAGGCCAGUUCCGAGUGGGGAGCGGCAGAGCGGAGGGAGAGGCGAGCGAGCGAGCGAAAUGGUCAAGUCCUCCUUAACUCUGGGCCCCCUCGCGGGCCUCACCCCUCCUCCCAGGGGCUGAGAUUGGAGAGGAAGUGGGAAGGCUUCAAUCGGUUCCUCACACCAGCGCCCUCAUGCCCCCACCCUACUCUUCGGCUCGGGGCUUCGGCGCGCCUCACCGCCGCCCCUCGCCCCGGGAGAGGAGCGGGCGGCGCGGCCGGGCUCGCGGUGAGAGGCCUGGGGCGGCAAGCGGCCUCCGUGGGGCCGCCAGAGCCCGCACCCGUCCGCCCGCUGGAGAGCCAGGCCCGAGGGCAGCCCCGGAGUCCGCGGAGGCCGGAUGCGCGGGCGCGUCACUUCCGGGCGGUGCAGCGGCGGCCGCUUGGAAGAUGGCUGCGCCCUGUGGCUCGGAGCUGCCCGCCAACUCGCCGCUAAAAAUCCCGAAGAUGGAGGUGCUCUCCCCGGCUUCUCCUGGUGGCCUAAGCGACGGAAAUCCAUCGCUCUCCGACCCUUCCACGCCUCGGGGUGCCUCCCCGCUCGGGCCGGGCAGUGCGGCGGGCUCGGGGGCAGCGGCGUCCGGGGGUCUCGGGCUGGGGCUGGGGGGCCGCAGCGCCGCCUCGUCCUCGGUCUCCUUCUCCCCUGGUGGCGGCGGUGGCGGGGCUGCGGCAGCCGCCGCCGCCGCCUGCCGAGGCAUGUCGUGGACGCCGGCCGAGACGAACGCGCUCAUCGCAGUGUGGGGCAACGAGCGGCUGGUGGAGGCGCGGUACCAGCAGCUGGAGGGAGCCGGCACGGUGUUCGGCAGCAAGGCCCCCGGGCCAGCCAUGUACGAGCGCGUGUCCCGGGCCCUGGCAGAGCUGGGCUACGAGCGGACCCCGUCCCAGUGCCGGGAGCGCAUCAAGCUGGUUCGAUGCCCAGAACUGAAUGCUGUGCUCCAGCUGUGGCCUCACCGGUGCUGAAUAGAGAGGAAGAGCCACCUUCAUAGCUUACAUACCCUUCGCAGGUGUUACAGUCGGGUGAAAGAACAUGGUGUUGGGAAAAGAAAGAGCAGUUACACAUUUGAACAGUUGGAACAGGUGUUUGGUCAGGGAGGAUGGGAUGCUCAGCCCUGCCAGCCUGUACUUAUUAACAGUAGUGGCUUGUACCAGGAGCUGGAGUCAGAUGGCAGCACUAUGGAGGAGUAUUCACAGGAGGACUGGGGAAACCACAGUCAGGAUCUCCACGGCUAUCCAACAGAUCAGGAAUUGGAUGAAAUACCUGUCACAAAGAGAACAUUAAAAAUAAAACAAGAGUCUUCUGAAGAAGCACAGAAAAGAGACAUCAUGCAGAAUAUCAUACAGAUUUUGGAAUCAGUACAGUUGAAAUGGGAACUGUUUCAGAGCUGGACAGACUUUUCAAGGCUUCAUCUCUCUAAUAAACUGGCCAUUUUUGGAAUUGGUUAUAACACCCGUUGGAAAGAGGAUAUCCGUUACCAUUAUGCUGAGAUCAGCUCCCAGGUGCCCCUUGGCAAGCGACUCCGGGAGUACUUCAAUUCUGAGAAGCCUGAGGGACGGAUCAUCAUGACCCGAGUGCAGAAAAUGAACUGGAAAAACGUUUACUACAAGUUUUUGGAGAUCACUAUUAGUGAAGCACGGUGCCUGGAGCUGCACAUGGAAGUUGACUGGAUACCCAUUGCCCACUCCAAACCAACCGGUGGGAACGUUGUUCAGUAUUUAUUGCCGGGAGGCAUUCCCAAAAGCCCAGGCCUUUAUGCCAUUGGCUACGAAGAGUGUAUUGAGAGGCCCCCCUCGCCCCAUGUGGAGCGACAUUCCCUGGACCCAGGAAAGGAGGGCCGGGUUGACUUGGAAACCCUUUCAGCACAAGCCUCACUACAGGUGGAAAUAGAACCUACCCGAAUUAUCUAUUGCUACCUCGGGAUCGCUGAGGUCAGGACUCUGCAGCAAUGCUUAUUUUUACAUUUCCAAGCAAAUACCAAAACCUUCAGCAAAGAUUGGGUCGGUAUUAAUGGGUUCUUGUCUCAGAACUGUAUUGUGGAUCCUGGAGUUUCCCCCAAAUCCAUCUAUAUCAAAUUUGUAGAAGUAGAGAGGGAUUUUCUUUCCGCUGGCUCUUUAGUUGAGUGCCUGGAAAAAGCCAUUGGCUACCCCUUAAAAUUUAACAACUGAAUGUCAUCCUUCAUAAGGAUUUGGGCUCUUACCUCUCUCUUCUCUACUCACAUCCUGUUACCCAGACUGUCCCUCAUCCGGAUGCUGCCAUCAGACUUCAUGGAAACUCUUUCCACGAUCGGGCCAGUACAACUAAGAAAUCAUAGUAGACUUUGGGCAGAAAAAACAGACCUCACCUGAAAAUGCUCAUUUUGAGCCAGCAAGCUAUACAGCGGACUUGCAUGGUGGGUCAGUUGUUUCUUUUUUAAAAACAAAAAUCAAUUUUUAAAUGGAUUUUAGAGCCCUGAUGUAAACAAAUGUAGGUACAUUCCAUAUUGGACAAAACUUAUACUUUGAGUUUCAUAUGAAAUUGAAAAAUUGUAUUUUUUUCACGAUGUUUCAUUUUUACACAUCUCUAUGUCUCUAUAUAAGUAUUAUUUACAACCUUGAAUAAAUAAGCAAUAGAUAAUGGCAAGUUAAAUCUUGAGUCACAGUAAAUAAGACUGUUUUUCAAUAUUACCCUUAGCUACUAUUGUAUAUAAUUUAGAGUUUCAUUUUUUUCACCAAUCAAGUGUUUUGCUAUUCCCAAUCAGUGUUGCCUGCAAAGACCUUUGUUUCUGUGAUGUACCAACUUUAUGGUUGUGCUGCCAUUUAAACUUUUUUUAAAAAAAUCAUUAAAGUAAUUCCUGGCCUCUUGG